rnacentral:lncRNA from 1 species
GAUGAUAAGUGAAGAGAAAAAAAUGAUUUAAAAGAGAUACAUCUCGACAUGGUAGAAUUCUGAAGUCUUCAGAUGAUGUUGUUGCUUUUUGUAACAUCCCGGAUUUUCAUCCAAGAUAUUUCUUAAAAAUCAUAUUUAGUUAGAAAAUGUGCCGCUGUUUUUUUUUUAUUUUUAAAUGAAAGGAUACAAUGAAAAAUAUCCAUCAGGCCCUCAGAAAAGAAACUCUAUGACCACCAUUAGGUAUCAGUUUGACAUUUGAAACAUUUGCAUGAAGGCUGAAUUCUUUUGUUCCAUAACCU